rnacentral:rRNA from 1 species
CUAGGCGAACGGAGCUCUGCUCCGUGCCGAACAGCUCAGUAACACGUAGUUAACCUGCCCUCAGGUCGGGGAUAACCCCGGGAAACUGGGACUAAUCCCCGAUAGGCUUCGGGUACUGGAAUGUCCUGAAGCUGAAAGCUCCGGCGCCUGAGGAUGGGACUGCGGCGGAUUAGGUUGUUGUGGGUGUAAUGGACCCACAAGCCGAUAAUCCGUACGGGCGUUGAGAGACGGAGCCCGGAGAUGGACUCUGAGACAAGAGUCCAGGCCCUACGGGGCGCAGCAGUCGCGAAACCUUCGCAAUGGCGCAAAGCGUGACGAGGGGACCCUGAGUGCCCUAGCAUUGCUAGGGCUUUUCCGGAGUCUAAACAGCUCCGGGAAUAAGCGGUGGGCAAGACGGGUGCCAGCCGCCGCGGUAAUACCCGCGC